rnacentral:rRNA from 1 species
GGCUCAGAAUGAACGCUGGCGGCGUGGAUGAUACAUGCAAGUCGAACGGGAACGUUUCCUUCGGGGAACUAGUACAGUGGCGGACGGGUGAGUAACGCGUGAUCAACCUGCCCUUGGGAGGGGGAUAGCUAUCCGAAAGGAUAGGUAAUACCCCAUAAGACUACGGCAUCGCAUGGUGCUGCGGUCAAAGAGUUGGGAUCUUCGGACCUUCUGCCCGAGGAUGGGAUCGCGUCCUAUUAGCUUGUUGGUGGGGUAACGGCCUACCAAGGCGAUGAUGGGUAGCCGGCCUGAGAGGGUGGUCGGCCACACUGGGACUGAGACACGGCCCAGACUCCUACGGGAGGCAGCAGUGCUGAAUCAUUCGCCAAUGCGCGAAAGCGUGACGGUGCGACGCCGCGUGCGGGAUGAAGGCCUUCGGGUUGUAAACCGCUGUCAGGGUCUAGGAAACCGCCGACGUGAAUAGCGGCGGCGCUGACCAGGCCCAAAGGAAGUGCAGGCUAACCUCGUGCCAGCAGCCGCGGUAAGACGAGGUGCACAAGCGUUGUUCGGAAUCACUGGGCAUAAAGAGUGCGUAGGCGGUCUGGUAAGUCGGGUGUGAAAGCCCUCGGCUCAACCGGGGAAUUGCUUCCGAUACUGCCAGACUUGAGAGCGAAAGGGGCAAGCGGAAUUCCAGGUGUAGCGGUGGAAUGCGUAGAUAUCUGGGAGAACGCCGAAGGCGAAGGCAGCUUGCUGGGUCGCAUCUGACGCUGAGGCACGAAAGCUAGGGGAGCGAACAGGAUUAGAUACCCUGGUAGUCCUAGCUGUUAACGAUGGGCACUUUGCUUUGGGGGACCUGAUUCCCUCAGGGCCGGAGCUAACGCGUUAAGUGCCCCGNCUGGGGAGUAUGGUCGCAAGGCUAAAACUCAAAGGAAUUGACGGGGGCUCACACAAGCGGUGGA